rnacentral:rRNA from 1 species
CACGUAGUUAGCCGUGACUUUCUAAGUAAUUACCGUCAACUAAAGGCCAGUUACUACCUCUAUCUUUCUUCACUACCAACAGAGCUUUACGAGCCGAAACCCUUCUUCACUCACGCGGCGUUGCUCCAUCAGACUUUCGUCCAUUGUGGAAGAUUCCCUACUGCUGCCUCCCGUAGGAGUUUGGGCCGUGUCUCAGUCCCAAUGUGGCCGAUCAGUCUCUCAACUCGGCUAUGCAUCAUUGCCUUGGUAAGCCGUUACCUUACCAACUAGCUAAUGCACCACAGGUCCAUCCAAGAGUGAUAGCAGAACCAUCUUUCAAACUCUAGACAUGCGCCUAGUGUUGUUAUCCGGUAUUAGCAUCUGUUUCCAGGUGUUAUCCCUAGUCUCGUUUGGGCCGUAGGUUACCCACGUCGUUACUCGACCCGUCCGCCGCUCGCUUGUAUCUUAGUUCUAUUUAGUGUCAAGCAACUAAAACUACUAUACUAGGCAACGCUCGCUCGUACUUGCU